rnacentral:tRNA from 1 species
UUUGAGUCAUUAUUCAUUAUAAAUAAGUGGCACUAAUAAAGAUCAAGUAACAUAAGUAAAAAAAGCUUAAUUCA